AAUUCUCCACUUCAAAAGUAUUUUUGAAGCUGGGACUAUGGGGGUCUGCUGAUGUUAUAGUCAGCUCUCCUUAAAUGCAUUAGCGGAACUUUAAGUACCAGCUUUGGUUUGAUAAUCCUAUCUAUGCCGUCGCUGUGUUUCUUGUGUGUUCAGCUUCUAAUGGUCUUCGGACUGUCUCUUUCAGAGGCAUACACUUUAA
rnacentral:misc_RNA from 1 species